rnacentral:rRNA from 1 species
GAGUUUGAUCUUGGCUCAGAUUGAACGCUGGCGGCAUGCCUUACACAUGCAAGUCGAACGGCAGCGCGGAAUGGGGUAACCCGGCCUGGCGGCGAGUGGCGAACGGGUGAGUAAUAUAUCGGAACGUACCCUGGAGUGGGGGAUAACGUAGCGAAAGUUACGCUAAUACCGCAUACGAUCUAAGGAUGAAAGCAGGGGACCGCAAGGCCUUGUGCUCCUGGAGCGGCCGAUAUCUGAUUAGCUAGUUGGUAGGGUAAAAGCCUACCAAGGCAUCGAUCAGUAGCUGGUCUGAGAGGACGACCAGCCACACUGGAACUGAGACACGGUCCAGACUCCUACGGGAGGCAGCAGUGGGGAAUAUUGGACAAUGGGCGAAAGCCUGAUCCAGCCAUGCCGCGUGUGUGAAGAAGGUCUUCGGAUUGUAAAGCACUUUAAGUUGGGAGGAAGGGCAGUAAAUUAAUACUUUGCUGUUUUGACGUUACCGACAGAAUAAGCACCGGCUAACUCUGUGACAGCCGCCG